UACGUAGGUGGCAAGCGUUAUCCGGAUUUAUUGGGCGUAAAGGGAACGCAGGCGGUCUUUUAAGUCUGAUGUGAAAGCCUUCGGCUUAACCGGAGUAGUGCAUUUCAAACUGGAAGUCUAGAGUGCAGGAGAGGAGAAUGGAAUUCCCAGUGUAGCGGUGAAAUGCGUAGAGAUUAGGAAGAACACCAGUGGCGAAGGCGGUUCUCUGGACUGUAACUGACGCUGAGGCUCGAAAGCGUGGGGAGCAAACAGG
rnacentral:rRNA from 1 species